rnacentral:rRNA from 1 species
CAAUAGCGUAUAUUAAAGUUGUUGCAGUUAAAAAGCUCGUAGUUGGAUUUGUGGCGUACGGUGUGUUCCGGGCACUUGUUGCCUGAGUAACCUGCUGUUGCCAUCCUUGGGUGGAACCUGUGUGGCAUUAGGUUGUCGUGCAGGGGAUGCCCAUCAUUUACUGUGAAAAAAUUAGAGUGUUCAAAGCAGGCUUAUGCCGUUGAAUAUAUUAGCAUGGAAUAAUGAGAUAGGACUUUUUUGCUAUUUUGUUGGUUUGCGCAAAGAGGUAAUGAUUAAUAGGGACAGUUGGGGGUAUUCGUAUUCCAUUGUCAGAGGUGAAAUUCUUGGAUUUUUGGAAGACGAACUACUGCGAAAGCAUUUACCGAGGAUGUUUUCAUUAA